UGGCUUUCAGUGGUGUAUUGUUGAGUUUUUGUAUGAACUAAUCUUGCCUCAGUGAAAGAGACCUAGGGCUUGGACAAAACGUCUAGAGCCACAGCAUUCCUAGCUGGCUCUCCCCUUGAACACUGAGCAGAAGGCUGGGCUGAGGGAGGCAGAGUAGACGGGAAGGCAGGCCGGAGGAGAGGCAGGGACGGGAGAGCCCCGGCCGCGGUAGGAGAGCCAGGCCGGGUUAGUGGGAUGAGAGGGAGGGCGGGUGCACGUGGGGGAGAAGGUCAGGAAGAUGGAGACUGGGAAGGCUUCAGCGGCAGGUUGGAGGAUAACUGCAGGUAGAGGAGGAGGCCGCGUAGGGAUGGGAUGUAGACGUCAGGUAGGAAAUAUUACACUUGUCUAAUACGAGAUUAACAACAAGAACACCAUAACAGGAAACGUGUGCUGUGGUCUGGUUUCCCUCUGCUGCCGUGGAUGUACUGGUUUGGACAGCAGCUGACGUCCAAUCAGACCCAGGGAUCAUUCUGACAACCGUGACAUCACCACAAGGGCGAGCGGAAGGGAAGACAGCGCAGCUCCAGACGGCGCCGGGGGCUCCGCGGGGCUGCACGGCGGCCGAGGCGCGCGGGCUGGGCGGAUGGAGGCGGCGCACGGACGCACUACGGACGGACGGGGCUCGGGCUGCCGCUCCACACCCGCUGCUCUGCGGCCGUCGACGGGAGCCGAGCCGGGCAGACCUGGGCUCCUCGCCGGGACGCGCUCGCGGAGGAAAGAGCGAAAUGGCAUCCGCUUGAGUUCGUGCCAUUGAAGGCGAGAGGAAGACAAGUCCCAGACUGGCAGUAAGUCGGAGUGGGAGAGGAGACGCCGGGGUGUGUGGCUGCGUAUGUUAGUUGUGGUGUGUG
rnacentral:lncRNA from 1 species